rnacentral:ncRNA from 1 species
UGCCGCGGUGAAUAUGUACCCGGGCCCUGUACACACCGCCCGUCACACCCUGGGAAUUGGUUUCGCCCGAAGCAUCGGACCAAUGAUCACCCAUGACUUCUGUGUACCACUAGUGCCACAAAGGCCUUUGGUGGUCUUAUUGGCGCAUACCAGGGUGGGGUCUUCGACUGGGGUGAAGUCGUAACAAGGUAGCCGUAGGGGAACCUGUGGCUGGAUUGAAUCCUUC